UACGUAGGGGGCAAGCGUUGUCCGGAAGCAUUGGGCGUAAAGAGCGUGUAGGCGGCCAGAUAAGUCCGCUGUGAAAUCUCGAGGCUCAACUUCGAGCUGUCGGUGGAAACUGUCUGGCUAGAGUCCGGAAGAGGAGAAUGGAAUUCCUGGUGUAGCGGUGAAAUGCGCAGAUAUCAGGAAGAACACCCGUGGCGAAGGCGGUUCUCUGGGACGGUACUGACGCUGAGACGCGAAAGCGUGGGGAGCGAACUGG
rnacentral:rRNA from 1 species